GAUGAACGCUAGCGGCAGGCUUAACACAUGCAAGUCGAGGGGUAGAAGUUGCUUGCAACUUUGAGACCGGCGCACGGGUGCGUAACGCGUAUGCAAUCUACCUUAUACAGAGGGAUAGCCCAGAGAAAUUUGGAUUAAUACCUCAUAGUAUAAUUGAAUGGCAUCAUUUAAUUAUUAAAGCUCCAACGGUAUAAGAUGAGCAUGCGUCCUAUUAGCUAGAUGGUAAGGUAACGGCUUACCAUGGCAACGAUAGGUAGGGGUCCUGAGAGGGAGAUCCCCCACACUGGUACUGAGACACGGACCAGACUCCUACGGGAGGCAGCAGUGAGGAAUAUUGGACAAUGGGCGCAAGCCUGAUCCAGCCAUGCCGCGUGCAGGAAGAAGGCGUUAUGCGUUGUAAACUGCUUUUUUAUAGGAAGAAGGAUCUCUUGCGAGAGAAGGUGACGGUACUAUAAGAAUAAGCACCGGCUAACUCCGUGCCAGCCGCCGCAGUAAAAC
rnacentral:rRNA from 1 species